CACGCCGUAAACUAUGGAUGCUAGCCGUCGGCAAGCUUGCUUGUCGGUGGCGCAGCUAACGCAUUAAGCAUCCCGCCUGGGGAGUACGGCCGCAAGGUUAAAACUCAAAGGAAUUGACGGGGGCCCGCACAAGCGGUGGAGCAUGUGGUUUAAUUCGACGCAACGCGAAGAACCUUACCAGCUCUUGACAUGUCCGGUCGGUUUCCAGAAAUGGAUUCCUCCUAGCAAUAGGUCGGAACACAGGUGC
rnacentral:rRNA from 1 species